GUGCUUUGACAGCAUUUAUACUAAAGUUGGAACAAUACAGAGAAGAUCAGCAUGGCCCCUGCGCAAGGAUGACAUGCAGAUUCGUGAAGUGUUCCGUAUUUUG